CCAGUUAGAGGUAUAUGGGCGUGCAACUUUUGGUUGGGCUUAUUGGACUCUUAAGAAUGUGAACAACCACUGGAGCCUGGAGUGGAUGAUCAACAAUGGUUAUAUCAAGCUUUAGGUGCUAGCGUGAAAUUUUUACACUUUUCCUUUUCGAAAAAUGCUAAUGCAAUAUCCUGAUUACAAGAUCAUAAAUGAAUAACUGUAUUUUAUGGUAAUAAGAGG
rnacentral:misc_RNA from 1 species